rnacentral:rRNA from 1 species
GACGUAGGGUGCAAGCGUUGUCCGGAAUUAUUGGGCGUAAAGAGUUCGUAGGCGGUUGCCUAAGUCUGGUGUUAAAUACUGGCGCUCAACGCCAGCAUGGCAUUGGAAACUGGGCAGCUAGAGUGUGGUAGAGGUCACGGGAAUUCCUGGUGUAGCGGUGGAAUGCGUAGAGAUCGGGAAGAACAUCAGUGGCGAAGGCGGUCUGCUGGGCCGUUGCUGACGCUGAGGCGCGACAGCGUGGGGAGCAAACAGG